rnacentral:rRNA from 1 species
AGAGUUUGAUCCUGGCUCAGGACGAACGCUGGCGGCGCGCCUAACACAUGCAAGUCGAACGAGCGAGAGAGAGCUUGCUUUCUCAAGCGAGUGGCGAACGGGUGAGUAACGCGUGAGGAACCUGCCUCAAAGAGGGGGACAACAGUUGGAAACGACUGCUAAUACCGCAUAAGCCCACGACCCGGCAUCGGGUAGAGGGAAAAGGAGCAAUCCGCUUUGAGAUGGCCUCGCGUCCGAUUAGCUAGUUGGUGAGGUAAUGGCCCACCAAGGCGACGAUCGGUAGCCGGACUGAGAGGUUGAACGGCCACAUUGGGACUGAGACACGGCCCAGACUCCUACGGGAGGCAGCAGUGGGGAAUAUUGCACAAUGGGGGAAACCCUGAUGCAGCGACGCCGCGUGGAGGAAGAAGGUCUUCGGAUUGUAAACUCCUGUUGUUGAGGAAGAUAAUGACGGUACUCAACAAGGAAGUGACGGCUAACUACGUGCCAGCAGCCGCGGUAAAACGUAGGUCACAAGCGUUGUCCGGAAUUACUGGGUGUAAAGGGAGCGCAGGCGGGAAGACAAGUUGGAAGUGAAAUCCAUGGGCUCAACCCAUGAACUGCUUUCAAAACUGUUUUUCUUGAGUAGUGCAGAGGUAGGCGGAAUUCCCGGUGUAGCGGUGGAAUGCGUAGAUAUCGGGAGGAACACCAGUGGCGAAGGCGGCCUACUGGGCACCAACUGACGCUGAGGCUCGAAAGUGUGGGUAGCAAACAGGAUUAGAUACCCUGGUAGUCCACACUGUAAACGAUGAUUACUAGGUGUUGGAGGAUUGACCCCUUCAGUGCCGCAGUUAACACAAUAAGUAAUCCACCUGGGGAGUACGACCGCAAGGUUGAAACUCAAAGGAAUUGACGGGGGCCCGCACAAGCAGUGGAGUAUGUGGUUUAAUUCGACGCAACGCGAAGAACCUUACCAAGUCUUGACAUCCUGCGACGCACAUAGAAAUAUGUGUUUCCUUCGGGACGCAGAGACAGGUGGUGCAUGGUUGUCGUCAGCUCGUGUCGUGAGAUGUUGGGUUAAGUCCCGCAACGAGCGCAACCCUUAUGGUCAGUUACUACGCAAGAGGACUCUGGCCAGACUGCCGUUGACAAAACGGAAGAAGGUGGGGAUGACGUCAAAUCAUCAUGCCCUUUAUGACUUGGGCUACACACGUACUACAAUGGCGUUAAACAAAAAGAAGCAAGACCGCGAGGUGGAAGCAAACUCAA